CCUUAUUGAUGUUUCUCCAGGCCUGUGUGGCCUUUUUCUUUGCUGCCUAGUGGUAGUCUCUUCUGUUUUGUUUAGUUAUUAUUUGUUGUUUUUCCGCAUUUUGUCCUCUUUGAGGUUUGAUACCAGUUUCUCAACCUCCCUUGUUGUGGGAAGGUCUGUUGUGGUCUAAUCAAUGAAAUUCAGUGUUAAAAAAAAAAUGCGCUGUAUAUUAAAGCUUAUACUCAUGAAUGUUGUUUAAAAAUUCUUAACUACUUUAUACAUUUUUAUUAAUGUGUGUUAAACUAUCUUUCAUGGUACAUAAGCAUUAUUCUAACUUUUUAACAAUUAAGUUACUAAAACUUCGUAUACUGCCUACAUUAAGACUUGCCUCAUGUUCCCUCUCAAUAAUGUCCCCUGCUCCACAAAAACUCUUACCUCCUUUCCAGGCAUAAUUU
rnacentral:lncRNA from 1 species